CAAACGUUUGUUUCAUCUAUUGC
rnacentral:siRNA from 1 species